rnacentral:misc_RNA from 1 species
UUGUGGAGGAGGACGCCGAAGGUGGGGCUGAUGACUGGGGUGAAGUCGUAACAAGGUAUCCGUACCGGAAGGUGCGGAUGGAUCACCUCCUAACAGGGAGACAACACAAUGAUUUUGAUGUCUGAGUAUUUUAAUUUUUAGGCCGAAAUCCUGUCACCUUAGGUCGAUCGGUACCUCAAGUUGAGAAUCAAAGAAAAGCUGAGUAAUCAGCUUGGAGAUUGAUGAUUGAUUUUAGUUCCUAAACUUGUCUAGGUCACACCCCGCAAGGGUUACUCCUGGGCCAUUAGCUCAGGUGGUUAGAGCGCACCCCUGAUAAGGGUGAGGUCCCUGGUUCAAGUCCAGGAUGGCCCAUUCGUUGUUGGGGGUAUAGCUCAGUUGGUAGAGCGCCUGCUUUGCAAGCAGGAUGUCAGCGGUUCGAGUCCGCUUACCUCCACUGAAACCUACCCUGGUAACUAAAUUCCCGGAGAAAAAUUUGUGGAUGUGACUUAUAUUUGUCUAUUUGAAAAGAACCUAGCUUCUUAUCAUCAUUUUUAUAGUUGAUAAUAUGCUGGGCUCACAUGGUUUUUCCAUGAGAAUUCAGUAGAACCUUGAAAACUGCAUAGAUUAGAAAGAAUAAAGCAUCUCAUGGAUGCAUAAUUCUGGUUGAUUUUUUAGUUUAAAACUAAUGAUCAAAUUUCAGAAUUCAUGUUUAAUUCUUGAGUAAUAGCCGAGCACAAUUGACAUUGUGUUUGAAUUAAGGUCAAGCUACAA